UAUUAAAGUGGCUGUAUCAUCAAAGCCUGCCAUCACGCUCCACAGAGCACACCGUUUGCGCGGACUCGCGUGGGAGCGCGCACGGAGGCGGUCUGAUUUGUCAAGCUGCUGGAAACAAAAGAAGAACAUCGGAACUGAGGUUUCUCUGCCUAAACAUAAAAGAUGCACUAGUCUGACUGAUGAAAAGGAUAAUGUAUUAUUUAAUUAUAUUUUAUUAGGCUAUGUUAUUUUAUGUAGGCAAGGCCAGGUUUGCCAAUUUUGAGUCAAAAUUAUAGUUUUUGUCUAUCCCAGACAAGGACUGAACAAAAACUACUUAAAGGAGAAGAAGGGCAUUGUAAAUUUAAAGUUUUCUAUUAAAAAAUGUAAAAAUACUAGAUUGUCAGUUAAUGGUCGUUGCUCCAUUUUUUUAUGUUUAUUUUUUAUUUGCUUUUUUUAGUAAAAAAAAGAAAAAAGGAAAGGUCAAACUGACAGAGAAAAAGUAAAUGGAAAUAAAAUACAUGU